rnacentral:rRNA from 1 species
AAACUACAGUUAAGGAACUCGGCAAAUUAGCCCCGUAAGUUCGCAAGAAGGGGUACCCGCGAGGGUUCAAUAAAGAGGCACGAACGACUGUUUAUCAAAAACACAGCUCUCUGCUAACUCGUAAGAGGAUGUAUAGGGGGUGACGCCUGCCCGGUGCUCCAAGGUUAAGAGGAGAGGUUAGUUAGCAAGCAAUUGUUAGUGAAGCUUUGAAUUGAAGCCCGAGUGAACGGCGGCCGUAACUAUAACGGUCCAAAGGUAGCGAAAUUCCUUGUCAGGUAAGUUCUGACCCGCAUGAAAGGCGUAACGAUUCGUGUACUGUCUCGACUGUAGACUCGUGAAAUCUUAGUACCGGUGAAGAUGCCGGUUACCCGCAACUAGACGGAAAGACCCCGUGGAGCUUUACUGCAACUUGAUAUUGGGUUUUUCUCUGCUUUGUACAGGAUAGGUGGGAGACUGUGAAGCCAAGACGCCAGUUUUGGUGGAGUCGUCCUUGGGAUACCACUCUGAGCGGCGGAGAAUUCUAACUUAUUGGUUUACAGCCAAAAGGACAGUGUCUGGUGGGUAGUUUGACUGGGGCGGUCGCCUCCUAAAAAGUAACGGAGGUGUUCAUAAGGUAUCCUCAAUAGGUAUAGAAAUCCUAUGGCGAGUGCAAAGGCAAAAGGAUGCUUAACUGUGAGACUUACAAGUCGAACAGAUACGAAAGUAGGACUUAGUGAUCCGGCGGUUCUUAGUGGUAGGGCCGUCGCUAAACGGACAAAAGUUACCCCGGGGAUAACAGGCUAAUACUUUCCAAGAGUCCAUAUCGACGAAAGUGUUUGGCACCUCGAUGUCGACUCAUCGCAUCCUGGAGGUGAAGAAGCUUCCAAGGGUUGGGCUGUUCGCCCAUUAAAGCGGUACGUGAGUUGGGUUUAGAACGUCGUGAGACAGUUUGGUCCCUAUCUGUUGUGGGCGUAGGAAAUUUGCGGAGAGCUGCUCCUAGUACGAAAGGACCGGAGUGGACUGACCAAUGAUGUACCAGUUGUCAUGUCAAUGGCACGGCUGGAUAGUUAUGUCGGGAAUAGAUAAGCACUGAAAGCAUAUAAGUGCGAAACUAACUCCAAGAUAAGAUUUCCCAUCCGUAAGGAGUAAGAUACCUUCUAGACCAGGAGGUUGAUAGGUGGCAAGUGUAAGAGUGUAUACAUGAAGACUCUCAGCUAAGCCAUACUAAUUUAUCGAGGACUUACUAC